rnacentral:misc_RNA from 1 species
UCAAACUUGGUCAUUUAGAGGAAGUAAAAGUCGUAACAAGGUUUCCGUAGGUGAACCUGCGGAAGGAUCAUUACAGAGAAAUAUGGGUUCGGGUAAAGCCGAAACCCAGGGGGCACGUGGCGACACGGCACCCGAUUCUCAACCCUAUGUGUAUUCAAACCAUUGUUGCUUUGGCGGGUCGGGGUUUCACGCCCCGCGUUGGCUCCAGGUCAGCGACCGCCCGUCGAAAGCCCAUCAAACUCGGUUUUUCAGUGACGUCCGAGGGAACUUGUAAAUAGAACAAAACUUUCAACAACGGAUCUCUUGGUUCUGGCAUCGAUGAAGAACGCAGC